UACAGGGUGCGGUCCUGGCUCUUGUGUAAGAAUUCUGACUGCACUAACCAUGCCUAGGAAGGAAAGGAGUUGUUGUUUUGUAAGGGAUUGAGGUUUGGGAGAUCACGUGUGUUUUUAUGAGAAUUACGCCGAGAUAGGUAACAGAUGAGGAUUAAAUUUGGGCUUGACUGAAGUAAUGGGGGCUGUCUGUGAAGCCUUGCAGCAGUACAGCCCAGGUAAUUUGCUGAGCCUAAUGGGUGUCAGGGUCAGUCUAAGUUA
rnacentral:lncRNA from 1 species